GUUUGAAGAUUUCAUCUUCCUGAUCCCGCAAUGUCUGGGUCCGAGAGGUCCGGGUCAGUGGCACGGGACCGAGGACUGCUCGCUGCUGCAUCCUAGGGGAGCUGAGGUGGAGCUCUGCACCCUCCUCAGGUAGCGAGACCCGUGAGGACACGGACUCCACCGAACCUAUUUUCCCACUGCCUCCCCCGUUCUGGUGCCACCGGCUCUGCCCAGGGUCUUGGGAAAUACGGGGAGAAAGCUUCUGGGCAGCAGCCUUCUUGGACAAGCUGAUCUGUGAGUCGAGUUUCUUAAGGAAAUCGGAGGCAGAAAGGUCAUGCGUGGGUGUGGAGGUUCCCUGGUGAGGCGGAAGGGCUUCGCCGUUGGCGCGGCCUGAACCUGGCUCUUGACUCUUCUUCGAUGAAUGUGAACCAACGCCAUCCCUACUUGCUUGUACCCCUUCCUCCCCAUCAUCUUCCUCCUCAGAAUCCAAGCCAUUAAAUAGGUCUCUGGGC